rnacentral:rRNA from 1 species
CCUACGGGGUGCAGCAGUGAGGAAUAUUGGUCAAUGGCCGUAAGGCUGAACCAGCCAAGUCGCGUGAAGGAAGAAGGAUCUAUGGUUUGUAAACUUCUUUUAUAGGGGAAUAAAGGUAUCCACGUGUGGAGAUUUGCAUGUACCCUAUGAAUAAGCAUCGGCUAAAUCCGUGCCAGCAGCCGAGGGAAUACGGAGGAUGCGAGCGUUAACGGGAUUUAUUUGGGUUAAAGGGUGCGGAGGUUGUUUUUUAAGUCAGCGGUGAAAGUUUGUGGCUCAACCAUAAAAUUGCCGUUGAAACUGGAAGACUUGAGUGUGUUUGAGGUAGGCGGAAUGCGUGGUGUAGCGGUGAAAUGCAUAGAUAUCACGCAGAACUCCGAUUGCGAAGGCAGCUUACUAAGCCAUAACUGACACUGAAGCACGAAAGCGUGGGGAUCAAACAGGAUUAGAUACCCUGGUAGUC